AUGUUUUAAUUUAUUGUAAUUAUAUUUUCGCUGCGGGUUUGCGCAAAUGAAGAAAGAAGUUCAAAGAAUCGGUAAAGUAUAAAUCACAAUUGGCAUUAUAACGUACAUAAGCUCUUUUCUAGAAACAUCGCUGAUGUGACGUCACGAAGUGGUGAUGACGCAACAGAAGAACCCACUUCAAAACGGUAUGUGACGUCACAGAGGACCAAGCGACCGAGUUACGAAGCUCUAAAUGAAGAAAAGCCGGCGAAUGAAACCGCAAAAAAGGCACAAGACGAAGAACAAAGACGAAGACGCCGAUAAAGGAUGCCGGUUUGAGGUUUUGAGUGUUUAUUAUUGUGUGUUGAAUGAUUGGGAAGCACUUUUACAGUGUUGCCAGACUGGUUGUCCCUUGACUGGUGCACUCUUACAGUGUUACCAGUCAUUCUGUGUUGCUAGUCAUUUUUGCUGGAUCUAACGUUUGCCAGCUGUUUUUGAAAGUCACUACUAUAGUGCAUUUUGCAUGUCACUGAAAUAUAUGCAAUGAAAUUAUGGCGAACAUCUUGCUGGAUCGGAUUUUGUUGUUGUACACUCUAUUGGGUACUUCGUCUACAAAGAUUGAAUCUUUCAGCGAUUCUGUAUAGACCUAAUCGCUUGGUGAGAACGCUGUAUUGGUACACAAAUACUCCAGUAUAUUACGCACUUUAUAAUAUACGCGCCUUUUUUAACACUUAAGUUCCCUUGUGUUUUAAAUUCCCUCUAAUUAAAUUAAAUUUUAAUAAAUGUUAUGAUAAUUCAUUUCAAUAAAUGUAACUUAAACUUCCCAACGUUAAUAACUAUAUAUUGAAACGUCAUGUAGCGCGAUUGGGACGAUGGCCACGUCACAAUUGCGCUACGACGUCGAUACGGUGGGUCAGAGCAUUGUCCUGACCCAGCGUUCGGUGCGGUUACGUCAGUUUUGAUUGAGUUGCGUCACGGCCAGGUUGUUGCGUGGACGUCGCCGCCAGUGAUGCUACGCUAGGUAUUUAGGUCACUGUCAAUGCGGUUCGUAACCACCUGGCGUAGUUUCGUAACGGUCGAUGCGGUGCGUAGCAGCCGAACGAUAUUAUAUUGCGUGAAGAUAUAACGAGAGUAUCGCGGUACCAACAUGGCGACUUAUCUUGGGGUUAGGACAUACGGAGCUGUUGUUGGCUUCGAUUCCUUGGGGUCGGACAUUCAAUAUGGUGUACACUGCAAAUGAUUAUCCUUCAGGAUUUGAACCAUAUUUUCUUUGAAUAUGUUUCAAUGAUCAUGUCCGCGUUAAUUACUUUUUGCUUGUCCCCUUUUUGUAUGGUUGAGUUGUUGUGUUUGUUGCACGUUUGGCACAAUUUUUCUCUGCACUCGUAGUAAUAUUUUUGUCUUUUUGUCGGCGUGUUAUUUGUAUUCGUUGUACAAUUUUUGUCUAUUGGGGUACUUUAACCUGCGUGGACAGUAAC